rnacentral:rRNA from 1 species
UACGGGGGGGGCAAGCGUUGUUCGGAAUUACUGGGCGUAAAGGGCUCGUAGGCGGCCAACUAAGUCAUACGUGAAAUCCCUCGGCUUAACCGGGGAACUGCGUCUGAUACUGGAUGGCUUGAGUUCGGGAGAGGGAUGCGGAAUUCCAGGUGUAGCGGUGAAAUGCGUAGAUAUCAGGAGGAACACCAGUGGCGAAGGCGGGUCUCUGGGCCGAAAUUGACGCUGAGGAGCGAAAGCGUGGGGAGCAAACAGG